GAGAGCAGAGAGCAGAGAGCAGAGCCUGGAGGAGAGAGCAUGGGAGAGCCAGGAGUGGAGGCAAGGGCUGCAAAGCUCCAAGAGGUCUGGAGGCAGAGACCAGCUUGCUGCAUGCAGACUGUUCUGGAGGUGGAUGGGAUUCUAGCUCUUGACCUGCCAUCAUGAGAAUAAAGGCAGAAGGGUAAAUCUGGUCCCUGUUAUUUCAUCUUGGCUGGAAGUGAUGUCUCCACUAUUCCUGGAGUAUGGACAUGAUAGCUGGACCUGAACAGCCGUACUGAACCAGGAGGUGAUUUUGAGUGGAAGUCCCUGGAAAAUCCACUUUAUACUACUAGGAUGGUAAAGCAGAAAGAUAGAAUGCUCCCAGAUUCCUGGUUAUAGUAGAGCCGCCCUACAAGUCUAAUUGCCUUUGUAUUUCUUUUUUGGGU